AAGAUUCCCAUGAGCAGACUUAACUUCUGCCCUCUUGAACCCUUCUCCCCCUCUUGAACCCUUCUCCCCCUCCCGGACCAUCGCCGCUGAUCUGCUCUACUUCCUGACUGAUAUCAUCAACCCUUCCCUGACAUCUGGCUGUGAACCAUCUGUCUUUGAGUCAGAUAGAGCCCCUGCUCUUGUCUCGAAACCUUCUCUUGACCCGUCUGACAUCCAUUAGACACUGCUGUCAAGCCUUUCUUCAGCACUCCUUGCCAACUCAAGCCAACUCAAGGCUCUGUUGUAGUUUUGUUAGCCCUCCUCUUGUGCCAGCCGGAUAUGCCAGGAGACUGUGGGCCCCGCAGACGGACUGGCAAGUGGACCCUCUACAGCAGUGAUGCUUAACUUAAGGCUUUUCUUAUUCAAAAUGAAAAUAAAUUGAUUCACUGUGGGAA